AACGAACGCUGGCGGCAUGCCUAACACAUGCAAGUCGAACGAGACCUUCGGGUCUAGUGGCGCACGGGUGCGUAACGCGUGGGAACCUGCCCUUAGGUUCGGAAUAACUCCCCGAAAGGGGUGCUAAUACCGGAUAAUGUCUUCGGACCAAAGAUUUAUCGCCUUUGGAUGGGCCCGCGUUGGAUUAGCUAGUUGGUAGGGUAAAAGCCUACCAAGGCGACGAUCGAUAGCUGGUCUGAGAGGAUGAUCAGCCACACUGGGACUGAGACACGGCCCAGACUCCUACGGGAGGCAGCAGUGGGGAAUAUUGGACAAUGGGCGAAAGCCUGAUCCAGCAAUGCCGCGUGAGUGAUGAAGGCCUUAGGGUUGUAAAGCUCUUUUACCCGGGAUGAUAAUGACAGUACCGGGAGAAUAAGCUCCGGCUAACUCCGUG
rnacentral:rRNA from 1 species